rnacentral:rRNA from 1 species
ACAGUGCCUGGUGGGUAGUUUGACUGGGGCGGUCUCCUCCCAAAGCGUAACGGAGGAGCACGAAGGUGGGCUAAUCACGGUUGGACAUCGUGAGGUUAGUGCAAUGGCAUAAGCCCGCUUGACUGCGAGAAUGACAAUUCGAGCAGGUGCGAAAGCAGGUCAUAGUGAUCCGGUGGUUCUGAAUGGAAGGGCCAUCGCUCAACGGAUAAAAGGUACUCCGGGGAUAACAGGCUGAUACCGCCCAAGAGUUCAUAUCGACGGCGGUGUUUGGCACCUCGAUGUCGGCUCAUCACAUCCUGGGGCUGAAGUCGGUCCCAAGGGUAUGGCUGUUCGCCAUUUAAAGUGGUACGCGAGCUGGGUUUAGAACGUCGUGAGACAGUUCGGUCCCUAUCUGCCGUGGGCGUUGGAGAAUUGAAAGGGGCUGCUCCUAGUACGAGAGGACCGGAGUGGACGAACCUCUGGUGUUCGGGUUGUGUCGCCAGACGCAUUGCCCGGUAGCUAAGUUCGGGAUCGAUAACCGCUGAAAGCAUCUAAGCGGGAAGCGAGCCUUGAGAUGAGUUCUCCCUGAUACUUUAAGUAUCCUAAAGGGUUGUCGUAGACUACGACGUUGAUAGGCAGGGUGUGUAAGCGUUGUGAGGCGUUGAGCUAACCUGUACUAAUUGCCCGUGAGGCUUAACCAU